AUUGAACGCUGGCGGCAGGCCUAACACAUGCAAGUCGAACGAGUGGCGGACGGGUGAGUAAUGUCUGGGCAUCUGCCUGAUGGAGGGGGAUCACUACUGGAAACGGUAGCUACUACCGCAUACCAUCAGAUGUGCCCAGAUGGGAUUAGCUAGUUGGUGGGGUAACGGCUCACCAAGGCUACUAUCCCUAGCUGGUCUGAGAGGAUGACCAGCCACACUGGAACUGAGACACGGUCCAGACUCCUACGGGAGGCAGCAGUGGGGAAGAGUGCACAAUGGGCGCAAUCCUGAUGCAGCCAUGCCGCGUGUAUGAAGAAGGCCUUCGGGUUGUAAAGUACUUUCAGCGGGGAGGCGUUACCCGCAGAAGAAGCACCGGCUAACUACGUGCCAGCAGCCGCGGUAAUAC
rnacentral:rRNA from 1 species